rnacentral:lncRNA from 1 species
UAACUGAGGUUUUGUUUUCAGGAAGUUCAAGAAUCUAAGUAAGAGCAGAAAUGUAGUUAGACCCUGACUUCCUCCAAGGCUCAUCUCAAGCAACACUUUUGAAGCCAAACUCUUCCAGAUUCUUCCAAGUACUAGUUCUUUUUCUACAAAAGUAUCUCAUAUCUGAUGAAUAUGCCAUAUAUGCACAUUUUGUCUUCCCUUGACACAUUGAAGAUGAGUAAACCGAAGGUCAUGACUUGCCUGAAUCUCUUCCUGAAUUGGGGGAAUGUGUUACAGCAAAACCUUCAAGGGAGUGGAAAGGAGAUUUAUCAUGACAGAAGGAGGCUGCGUUUGAGAUCGAUGCAGUCUGGAGACAGGAGAGAUGCCAAGGGUGUUCCGGAGGAGAUUAAUAGGGGCGCCAACCUGCUUCUUAAUAACUAAUUAUGCAUGGAAUUUAUCAUCACCCUCCACACAUCCUCUUCCUUAAUAAUGUUUGACAACUCCCGUUUUCCCACUGGCACAAAGCCCAUCGCAGACAGACUUCCCGGCUAAAAUGAAGACAUCAUCUAAAUUCAGGAUCCAGUAAUAUCAAAGGUUCACCUGAGCUUUCCCAAUGGGAGGGGGAGGAAAGAGGAAGCAAGAUGGGCCUGAAAGUGGCUAGACUAACUUCUGUGAAACAAUGAGGUAAGAAAGACUCCCACACCUUCUUUUUAUUUAUGGAAACCCUUACCUUCCAUCUUAGAAUCAAUACCAGAUGUUGGUUCCAAAGUAGAAGAGCGAUAAAGGCUACGCAAGGGGAGUUACAAUGCAGUGGGACCCAGAAAAAAAGAGAGAGGGAAAUGGAGUGGGAUGCAGGAAAUCCAGAGGUUCAGGGGAUGGAUCAAGGACUUUUCUAAGCUCAGGAACUGGUCUGGCCAGAGAAGACUCUCCCUGAUGGCCACCAAUAAAUAAAUGGACAAAGAUGGC